rnacentral:rRNA from 1 species
CCUACGGGUGGCAGCAGUGAGGAAUAUUGGUCAAUGGGCGGAAGCCUGAACCAGCCAAGUCGCGUGAGGGAAUAAGGCCCUACGGGUCGUAAACCUCUUUUGCCGGGGAGCAAGGGCGGGGACGUGUCCCGGCCCGUAGAGUACCCGGAGAAAAAGCAUCGGCUAACUCCGUGCCAGCAGCCGCGGUAAUACGGAGGAUGCGAGCGUUAUCGUGUUUUAUUGGGUUAAGGGGGUGCGUAGGCGAGCUUUUAAGUCAGCGGUAAAAAUUCGGGGCUAACGACGGUCCGGCCGUUGAAACUGGGGGCCUUGAGUGGGCGAGAAGAAGGCGGAAUGCGUGGUG